CAGCCGCCGCGGUAAUACAGAGGGUGCGAGCGUUAAUCGGAUUUACUGGGCGUAAAGCGUGCGUAGGCGGCUUCUUAAGUCGGAUGUGAAAUCCCUGAGCUUAACUUAGGAAUUGCAUUCGAUACUGGGAAGCUAGAGUGUGUCAGAGGAUGGUGGAAUUCCCGGUGUAGCGGUGAAAUGCGUAGAGAUCGGGAGGAACAUCAGUGGCGAAGGCGGCCAUCUGGGACAACACUGACGCUGAGGCACGAAAGCGUGGGGAGCAAACAGGAUUAGAUACCCCAGUAGUCCCUGUCUCUUAUAC
rnacentral:rRNA from 1 species